rnacentral:rRNA from 1 species
GAUGAACGCUGGCGGCGUGCCUAAUACAUGCAAGUCGAGCGAACGGACGAGAAGCUUGCCUCUCUGAUGUUAGCGGCGGACGGGUGAGUAACACGUGGAUAACCUACCUAUAAGACUGGGAUAACUUCGGGAAACCGUAGCUAAUACCGGAUAAUAUUUUGAACCGCAUGGUUCAAAAGUGAAAGACGGUCUUGCUGUCACUUAUAGAUGGAUCCGCGCUGCAUUAGCUAGUUGGUAAGGUAACGGCUUACCAAGGCAACGAUGCAUAGCCGACCUGAGAGGGUGAUAGGCCACACUGGAACUGAGACAAGGUCCAGACUCCUAAGGGAGGCAGCAGUAGGGAAUCUUCCGCAAUGGGCGAAAGCCUGACGGAGCAACGCCGCGUGAGUGAUGAAGGUCUUCGGAUCGUAAAACUCUGUUAUUAGGGAAGAACAUAUGUGUAAGUAACUGUGCACAUCUUGACGGUACCUAAUCAGAAAGCCACGGCUAACUACGUG